GUUGUAAAGCACUUUUGUUGAGGAAGAAUGUGUUUGGGUUAAUAGUCCAAAUGCUUGACGUUACUCAAAGAAAAAGCACCGGCUAACUCCGUGCCAGCAGCCACGGUAAUACGGAGGGUGCAAGCGUUAAUCGGAAUUACUGGGCGUAAAGCGUGCGUAGGCGGAUGCUUAAGUCUGAUGUGAAAUCCCCGGGCUUAACCUGGGAACUGCAUUGGAUACUGGGCGUCUAGAGUAUGGUAGAGGGUGGCGGAAUUUCUGGUGUAGCGGUGAAAUGCGUAGAUAUCAGAAAGAACACCAAUGGCGAAGGCAGCCACCUGGGCCAAUACUGACGCUGAGGUACGAAAGCGUGGGGAGCAAACAGGAUUAGAUACCCUGGUAGUCCACGCCCUAAACGAUGUCUACUUGUCGUCAGGAGGGCUAAACCUUUCGGUGACGGA
rnacentral:rRNA from 1 species